AUAUUUAACUUAAAUAAACAAAUUAAUUAUCUAUUUUCUAGUUUUUAAGAAGUUGCUUGAUCCAAGUCUUUGGUCAGAUGAUAUAUAUCCGAAGAAGUUGUCUUUGACAGAAGAUAGAAACAAUUGGAGUAUUCAAAAGAUUCGGGCGCACAUGUUUGCAGGCAGUCCUAAUUAAACAACAUCGGAUUUACAGUUGUCGACAUAUUAUAUUAGCCAAGCUCAAUAUAAGGCAAGGAGCGAUUUCUGUACUAGCAUUUCACUCCGCAAAAGAUGAACUUGAGUCUGGCGCCAUUGACAUUUCGCUUCCGUUGGCAGACUUGCGCCUAGUCGAGUGUCGGUGAAGAAAUUUUAUUCAACAUAAUGGAGAGCCAUGUGAAUGUUUUGCCGAACAAAAUCAUCCUACAUUUUAUAUCAAUGCAAGGUACACUGAGUAAUAACUUU